ensembl:lncRNA LOC108352885 uncharacterized LOC108352885
GUAUAGAGAUAUGGACUGUUGCUGGGCAAGAACCGAAGAGAUUGCUUUAAGGCACAAUGAGUUUGAAGCCGUACCAGGACAUCUAAAUGCCAAGCCCCAGCUGGCAGCUGGAGAUAAGGGGCUGGCUCCCAAAUAAAAGAAGCAAGCUUCAGUUUGGGAGUAAGGAAGAAACGCCAGGGCCAUGGUGAGAAGUGAGGGGAAUACGGAAUCCUCGGGCAUUCUCUGAAGCAGCCCGAGAGACCACAAGUGAGUCCCAGUUGCCUGGCAGAGCAAACUCAUGAAGUGGGAAAUGGCAUCUCACACCCAGCUCACAGUCUCCAAAUCGGACCCUUGUUUCCUCGAUGUGUCAUUGGUUUGGCUAUCUCAGCCCUGGACUUUGGAAAUGGUUAAGGAAGCAAGAAGGAGCACCGAGGUAUUGAUGAAAGGCUAUGGAGAGGCACCCAGCACACUCAUAUCAAUGAAAUCUGCAAUGUCAAAAUGGAAAGAAAAGCUUACAAACUACCCAAAGGAGCAAGCAAGGUCUCAGGCCCAAAAAAGGCCAGCAGAAGCUGUAACGUCUUGCAGGCAUAGUUGUCACAUAUGCCAUCUGGCUCCCUAGCCCAUCAGUAGUGCCAUCAAUAUCCUCUGCAAACAGGAAGGACGCUGCCUGUUGACAAUGUACGUGGGUAAAGAUUUGCUCUAGACAAUGAUAAUGUUCUCCUGGCCUUAUGGAUUAUUAGCGAUAAAAACUUGCUCUGGAACCAGGAAGAAUGAGGCAAGGUUUUUGUUUGUUUGUUUUUGUUUUGUUUCCUUUUGUAAGAAAAAUUUAUUUUUAUUCUUUUUUAUUCUACUUAUUCACUUUACAUCCCACUCACUGCCCCCUGUCAGUCACCCCCCUCUCACCAUCCUUUCCCCCAUCCCCCAAACCUUCCCCUUCUCUGAGUGAGUGAGGCCUCCCUUGGUUAUCACCCUCCCUAGCACUUCAAGUCUAUGAAGCUCUAGGCACAUCCUCUUACAGUGCAGGCAGACAAGACAGCCCAGGUAGAACAUAUUCCACAUAUAGGCUACAGCUUUUGAGAUAGCCCCUGCUCCAGUUGUUCAGGAACCACAUGAGGACCAAGCCUCACAACUGCUCCAUAUGUUUGGGAAGGCCUAGGUUCAGCCUGUAUAUGUUCUUUGGAUGGUGGUUUAGUCUCUGAGAAUCCCAAGAAUUCAGAUUAGUUGACUCUAUUGGUCUUCCUGUGCAGUCCCUAUUCUCUUCAGGGAUCAUAAUUCUUCUUCCUUUUCUUCCAAAAAAUUUCCCACACUCCACCCAGUUUUUGGCUGUGGGUGUCUGACUAUCUCUUUUGUCCUCAUCUGAUUCGGAACCCCUCCCCCAUUCGCUCCCAUGCUUUCUCCUACCGAGUUCCCUCCCUCCUUUUGCCUCGUAUUUCAUUCCUCCUUCUAAGUGAGAUUCGAACAUCUUCACUUGGGUUUUCCCUCUUGUUUAGCUUUGGGUGUGUGGAGUGGAGUGUGGAUAUCCUGUAUUUUAUGGCUAAUAUUCACUUAUAAGUAAGUACAUAUCAUGUAUGUCUUUUUUGGGAUGGGUUACCUCAGGGUGAUAUUCUCAAGUUCCAUCCAUUUGUGGGGCAAGUCUUUUAAUGUUGCUUGGAGAAGGAGAACUUUCUGAGUUUGACAAAACUUAUGUAUCGUAGG